rnacentral:rRNA from 1 species
AUGUCCCUCGCCGACGCGCUCGCCUCCAUCGGCCUCGGCUACGCCAUCGCCAUCGCGCUCGGCUUCCUCGUGCUCCUCGCCGCGAUCCUCCUCGCCUACCACUUCUGCUGCCGCCGCCGCGCCGCGGGCGCGCAGCAGCAGCAGCAGCAGCACCACUCCGGCCGCCACGGGGCCGCCUCCUCCUCCGCGUCCAGCUCGGGCCACAUCUCCAUCACCGUGCCGCGCUUCGUGUUCGUCGCCGAGGACGACUCCCCGGGCUCCUCCUCGCGGGGCGCCACCGGGUCCACCCCCGUCGGCCUCGACCCCGCCGUGAUCGCCUCCUACCCCAAGGCGCCCUUCGCCCGGGCUGCCGCCGCCGGCGAGCUCGCCUGCUCGAUCUGCCUCUGCGAGUACCGCGACGGGGAGAUGCAGCGCAUCAUGCCCGAGUGCCGCCACCGCUUCCACCUCAUGUGCCUCGACGCCUGGCUGCGCCGCAGCGCCUCCUGCCCCGUCUGCCGCAACUCGCCCAUCCCCACCCCCGUCACCACCCCGCUCAACACCCCGCUCUCCGAGAUCGUCCCGCUCUCCCAGUACGCCGCCGACCGCCGCCGCCACAGGUGA